rnacentral:rRNA from 1 species
UACGUAGGGUGCGAGCGUUGUCCGGAAUUAUUGGGCGUAAAGAGCUCGUAGGCGGUUAGUCGCGUCUGCUGUGAAAACUCGGGGCUUAACUCCGGGCCUGCAGUGGGUACGGGCAGACUAGAGUGCGGUAGGGGAGACUGGAAUUCCUGGUGUAGCGGUGAAAUGCGCAGAUAUCAGGAGGAACACCGGUGGCGAAGGCGGGUCUCUGGGCCGUAACUGACGCUGAGGAGCGAAAGCCAGGGGAGCAAACGGG